rnacentral:snoRNA from 2 species
GAAUGAGAUGAUGAACUGAAUUGUUUCCCUAUUGGUUUGAUUGCCGUGAUGAUGGCAACUACAAUGUAUUAGCUCUAUCUGAUCAUUC